rnacentral:lncRNA from 1 species
GUGUGACUGUGACAUGGAGACCAAUGGUUUUGAGCUGCCUUUUGGUAGCUGACGGGUGUAGGCGAUGGUAUUUUUUCGGCGUCGGUGAAAGUGACAUAUGUAAUGGAACCACAAAAACGCGUAAGCAUACAAGUUUUUUGGUUUAUUUAUUCUGGAAAAUAACUGUUCUAUUGAAUUUUGGGACCUAAAUUUAACUUUUAAUAAUUGAUCCUAGUACUUAAUACUAGUGUUAGAUUGAGAUUUUACGUCUUUUCUUUUACCUCAUCUAAAUAAGUCAGAUAAAAGUUUAAGCUCCCAUUUGGUAACAAUUU